AAAAAAUUUUAUUUUAAAAAUAGUUCCGAUAAAUUUAUAAUCGUAAAACUUAUCACCCAGACGCCACGUAAGCACCACGUGAGUAGGCUGGAUGGCGGCUCUGGCAAGUUGAACACGAUAAAUCAUUCACGGUGAAUGAUUCACCGUUUUCAGUUAGUUAUUCUGUCCCGAAAAAGAUGAUGUAUAAGUAUAAUAUGUUUAUAUCAAGCAGCGUGAAUAACCAAAAGAAACACGGUGAACCAUUCAUCUUGUUUGAACACGGUGAAUGAUUCGCCGUGUUCAACUUGCCAGGCAGGCGCCCAGUCCGCCCACGUGGCUUUUGCGUGGCGCCUGUAUGACAGAGAUAGAAUUAUUUUUACAAUUAUAAAUUUAUCUGGGUUAUUUUAAAAUAAAAGUUUUUCAGGAACAAUUUGCAAAAAAAGCUCAAAAAAAAUAAAGAAAAAGAGUAGGGCAAAGUAAACGAAAUAUCCAGAGAGAGAGAGAGAGAGAGAGAGAGAGAGAGAGAUUUGUGGAGUUAGAGAGAGAGAGAGAGAGAGAGACAGAAAGAUUGCGUGGAGUUAGAGAGAGAACGAAAGCCGCAGCAGCAGCAGCAGGAGCAGCGGCAACAAGAUUAUUGAACUCUCCGUUGCAUCGUUUUUUUUUGUUUUUUUUAAUCUUCUUUAGAUUAUUCUAUUGUAUAUUAAAACCAACUCCACGUAAAAAACACCGACCCCCUCUCUCAAUCUCUCUCUCUCUCUCUCUCUCUCUCUCACACACGCGCAGAGAGG
rnacentral:lncRNA from 1 species